rnacentral:lncRNA from 1 species
CUCAGCGUUCGCGGCUGGUAGCGGAAGUGAACUGGACUCGAAGAGGAAGACCGAAAGAAUCCGGCUCGGGAGGAAGAACGGGAGUGAGCUUGUAUUGGCGGUGCCGCCGCUACUGCGGAGGCGAGGAGCCCGAGCCGAGACAGUGAAAAGGAAUCUCCCUGAGCAGGGCGGCCGACGACUUGCAAGAGGAAAGCACAAGCGUUUCAUCACUUACCCUGUUCUCACCGAUGUUCCUGUGUUUGAGGUCAGUGGGAACAAAGCACCUUCCUGGAAUAUAGGGUCUCUCUGCACUUUUCCGCUCAAUCACAACCAUUGGGCUGCUUGUUGCUGUCAUUAAAGUCUUUGUAGCCAUCAACCCAAGUGCGGUUUCAAUGGGAAAAUGAAGGUAAAUAUUUUGGAGACAGAGUUUAUUUGGGGAUUGUUGGGGAAAACAGUAUAACUGCCUUAAA